GGACUGGAACUAGAUGAAGGAAGAGAAGAACCACAUAUGGAUGAAGACCCUAAAUUACAUAGUCUACCUUCUAUUCUGCUCCUACUAGGGGCAAGAGGGAAGUUAUCAACUAUGGGGACUCUCCUAGGGUUAGGGUUUGAUAAAGACAUGAUAGUACAAGGAAGGUGAGAACGAGAAUUGAAUAUUCUGAAAGCUUUAC
rnacentral:lncRNA from 1 species